UCCGUAGGGUGAACCUGCGGAGGGAUCAUUA
rnacentral:rRNA from 15 species